GAUCCAGAGCAUCUGGUCCCGCCUGCAGGAGACGGGCCUCCGGGGCAAAUGCGAGUGCAUCCGCGGACGCAAGGCCACCCUGGAGGAGCUACAGACGGUGCACUCGGAAGCCCACACCCUCCUGUAUGGCACGAACCCCCUCAACCGGCAGAAACUGGACAGUAAGAAACUUCUAGGUAUUUCAGGACCUUCCUUUCCUCCCAUAUUGGGUUUGAAGUCCCCCGAGGUUGUGUUUCCAGCUCUCAACCCCUUGUGUCUGGGGCACCUGUGGGUGUCGCCUGCCAGGUUAUAAGGUAAAGGGCCUGAAAGGGAACCUUUCAUCCUCUGUUCACAAGCCACUGGU
rnacentral:sRNA from 1 species